UAGUAGUGGGUAUCAUCAGUGGUCCCAAUUAGCAGAGUCCACGCUCAGGUGAACAAUGGUCCCCCUCAUCAGACAUGAAAUAUGCUCUCAAUUAAUCACAGGGAUACGUAACCUGAUCUGGGGUAUUUUCUCAUCUUUUUCUUGACCGCCGGGUCUAGAUAAUCCAAAGGCCUUGAUGUACCAUUGCCCUGUUGGAUGUCUGCUGACUAAUGUACCAGUAAAUGAUAAAAUAAGUAAGAGGGGGUGGCACAAGUCAAGUGGAACUUAAUUACCUCUGACAAGAGUUUUUGAGGGGGAAAAAAGGAUACCAGAUCACACACAUGGGGAUUGUGUGACAACAAUGACCAGCGCUCUAGAAGUAAAGAAAUCCCCCUCCAGAAAAACAUGUUUGCGUGUGACCGAGGCAAGUAAAAGGCGGUCUCCAGGGCCUUCCAUACAGCAAGCGUCCCAUGUUCCUCCUGGGGGUCCGAGCGCUGUGUGCAUCUGGAAGAGAUAUUUGGCUGAGGUUCGGCCCAGAAGGUUUUCACAAUGUGCCUUCCCGUCUCUGAAACACAUCGGCUGAGUUGAGAUACAUGUCAGGAAGACAAAAUGCAGCAUUAUUGUUGGAGAGGAACAAACAAGGCACCGAGCAGAGGAGCAGCCAACAAGAAGCAGGUCCAACAACAUGCCUCUCAGCACGAGCGGGAAGUCUAAUUUUCACAUCUGCUCAAGUGAGAGGCUUAAAGCAACAAUCACUUAAGAUAACAAGACUGUAUAAAUUACAAUGGCAAUGAAUUUAACUAGCAAAGCUCUUAAACACCCAAUAUUGUGGCUGUUUGAAGGUUCCUGCUGAGUUGAGCAACUGCGGUGAGUAACUGGUGACUCAAAGAAGUGCUGAAGUUCAGCACAGAAAGCUUAAAAGCUAUAUUUCUACUGUCAUGUUUCGAAUCCUGGCAAUGAGUAAUGAUGGGACAUCCUUUAAGAUCUUUGUCUUCAGCUAUGACCAUUUAAUAUAUUUUAA